ACUCCUACGGGAGGCAGCAGUGGGGAAUUUUGGACAAUGGGCGAAAGCCUGAUCCAGCAAUGCCGCGUGCAGGAUGAAGGCCCUCGGGUUGUAAACUGUCUUUUGUACGGAACGAAAGCCUGGGGCUAAUAUCCCGGGUCAUGACGGUACCGUAAGAAUAAGCACCGGCUAACUACGUGCCAGCAGCCGCGGUAAUACGUAGGGUGCAAGCGUUAAUCGGAAUUACUGGGCGUAAAGCGUGCGCAGGCGGUUUUGUAAGACAGUGGUGAAAUCCCCGGGCUCAACCUGGGAACUGCCAUUGUGACUGCAAGGCUAGAGUGCGGCAGAGGGGGAUGGAAUUCCGCGUGUAGCAGUGAAAUGCGUAGAUAUGCGGAGGAACACCGAUGGCGAAGGCAAUCCCCUGGGCCUGCACUGACGCUCAUGCACGAAAGCGUGGGAGCAAACAGGAUUAGAUACCCCUGGUAGGAUAGCG
rnacentral:rRNA from 1 species